rnacentral:rRNA from 1 species
GAGCGGUAGGCCCCUUCGGGGGUACACGAGCGGCGAACGGGUGAGUAACACGUGAGCAACCUACCUCCAACACUGGGAUAAGCCCGGGAAACCGGGUCUAAUACCGGAUAACUCCUCAGUCGACAUCUUCUGAGGAUAAAAGUUCCGGCGGUUGGAGAUGGGCUCGCGGCCUAUCAGCUUGUUGGUGGGGUAACGGCCCACCAAGGCUUCGACGGGUAGCCGGCCUGAGAGGGCGACCCGCCACACUGGGACUGAGACACGGCCCAGACUCCUACGGGAGGCAGCAGUGGGGAAUAUUGCGCAAUGGGCGAAAGCCUGACGCAGCAACGCCGCGUGAGGGAUGACGGCCUUCGGGUUGUAAACCUCUUUCAGCAGGGACGAAGCGAAAGUGACGGUACCUGCAGAAGAAGGACCGGCCAACUACGUGCCAGCAGCCGCGGUAAUACGUAGGGUCCGAGCGUUGUCCGGAAUUAUUGGGCGUAAAGGGCUCGUAGGCGGUCCGUUACGUCGGGAGUGAAAACUCGGAGCUCAACUCCGAGCCUGCUUCCGAUACGGGCAGACUAGAGGUAGGCAGGGGAGAGCGGAACUCCUGGUGUAGCGGUGGAAUGCGCAGAUAUCAGGAAGAACACCGGUGGCGAA